ensembl:lincRNA
CCAGCCAAUUUACUCUUAAUUCUCCAUCACUUGCAUCUUAUUCCCUAUUUUAUUAUCCUCGUGUAGUGUAUAUUUGUGCCACCUAUUUAAAUCCUCUUGGGAAGGAGACAGGAAAUAAAUACCUGCUUAGUUACAAAUACAUGAGGAUGUACACCAUAUAGGUAGCAUGCGGGCCAGGGAAGAGAAGUUAUCAAGAGAGACCAAGAAGAGGGCAUUGGAGAAACAGACAUAGUGGUAAAGAGAUAGGUCACAGAAGCCAAGAGGAGAGAGCAUUAGAAAGAGGGAGCAGCUGGCUGGCAGCAUGUCACAUGUUGCCGAGAGGUUAAAUUGGAUGAAGACUAAAAAAAGGCCAUGGGAUUGAGCGAUGAGAAGGUCGCCAGGGACCACAAGGACACUUCAUUGCCCUGUUGAAUCAGACACAAAUGGAAGAUGAGGAAGUGGAGGCAGCAAGGACAGAAACACAAGUUCGAGAAAUUUGCAAGCAGGAAGGAAAAAAAACCGUGGGUUAAAUGAGGGGAGGAAGCAUUUAUUUUCUUGUUUUGUCUUGUAGUUUUUAGGGAGUGGAUGCAAAUGCAGAUGAGAAGGUAAGCUUCAACAGGACGCCACCACCGCCAGGAGGAAGCAUGAAGAAAGUGGUAAACUCAGAGGUGGAACAAAACCUUUGGCAGUGGAGAUAUCCGCCAUGGAGAGGGCUGGAAGCCAAGUGGUUCCCCUCUUCACCGUAGCCUGUGUGCACCUGUGUCUUCACACAGCCCUAGCAAGAAUGACCCCAAAAGAUUUGUUCCUUAAUCUCCAAGCUCUACUUAAAAGUCUCUCAGCUGGAAUUCUGGAGAAAACAAUAUUCGGAUUCAGGUCAAAUGUCCAGCUUCGGAAUCUGUCCACGUGGAUGUGGUCGUGUCUGACACUUCCUAGCUCAGUGACUUUGGGCAUCUAUUCGAGUUUCAGUCACCUCAUCUGUGAAAUGGGAUAAAAACAGUAGUAUUGUUGUGAGAUCAUUGAAAUAAUAUGUGAGAGGUGCCUGUUGCAGUGCCUGGCAUGUGACAAGUGGUAGUUGCUACCAUUUCCAUUCCAAAGAUGAACUCAAAGAAACUUGUAUCCAAAAAAAAGGAUUAAAAAGUAGUGGUGACUCAGAAGGGCGAGGCCUGUGACUGCUGUCAUGCUGCCUAUUCCUGCAUGCUUGCAUAAUUGCAAAGCAACCGUGUUAGAAGCACAGCUGCCUUCAUAAAGGACAGGGGAUUCCUGCCAGAAGCACCCAGAGAAUGCUGCCUUCAGGCUGACCCCAGACACUCACAGGCCUCAUGAUAAUCUCAGUGCAGAGCUCUUCUAUAAAGACCUUAAAGCUCCAUGAGUAAGCUAGACACUGCGUGACCUGAAUCCCGUCCAGGCCCCUGCCCUGCGGUUGCUGACUCCCUGGUAUGAAAAGAUCUAGAUUGCCACAACCUACCUGGUGUUAUCUCUGGCAGUGGCAGCAGAGGACUGUCUGAUGGGGAAAUGGCUCCACAAAAGGUUAAAAUGCCAUCCCCUUCCCCAGACGUCUGUUCUGGUUUCACUUAAUAACCAAAUGAUUCUGUCAUCCAAGAGUUCAUCUAGAUUGCAAACAAGUCUUUUGUUUUUAUAAUUGAGUCCUAUUCAAACAUGUUUAAAGACUGUAUUCUGGGGGAAGGGGAUCUGUAAAUAUUAACAGUAAUGAGAGAAGCACUGGAUUGGGGACAGCAGGAAGAGGGGAAGGGAGGGUGAGGAGAUGGCUUGAAAUAGAGAAGAAAGUAAAAGUCUGCACAUUGAAUGGUGAGACCCCCUCACCCUUCCCCUGCUUAUUUCCAAAAAUGCUGGCAAUCAGGUUCAUAUCCUGCAGGAAAGAGACUAGAGGAUCUUAAUUCAGAAAAUUGAAUCACACUGGAAGAAAGCCCUACAGAUCCUACAGAUACUGACAUUUGGAAGUGCCUCAGUGCAAAAAUCCUGUCAUUGCACAAUUGUACUGUAGCAGUUGGCCUCAACCCCAUCAGAAUCAACACCUUCCUUUUUGUUUUAUUUUUAACAGUUUUAUUGAGGUAUAAUUGAUAUGCAAUAAAGUGCUUGUGAUUAAGAUGUGCAAUUUGGAAAUGUCUGAUAUAUGCAUGCACUCAUGAAAUGAUCACCAAAAUCAAGGUUAAAAAACACAACCAUUCCCCAAAACUUUCCUUGUGCCAUUCAUUGCUGUUCUCUGUCCCAGUCCCCAUUGCCAG